CGUGUCAAUGAAUUCAUUAUCAAGUCAGUAAUAUCAUCUGUAACAAAUAAAAUGAGACACUCUGUCUAUAUGCUUACAACUAUAUAUGUGGUUUUCACAUAGUGAAGUGCUUAAACUAUCUGACUGUAGAAUACGGACACACACUGAAACUGUCCAGCCAAAAUUUUACACGGAUUGGCAAUGGAAGGCCCAGUGAGACCGGACAAAAUAAUCGAGGAGAUUGGAGGAUGUGGGCGAUAUCAGAUUCGCAUGAGCGUUGUUGUUCACCUGAUCAAAUCUAUCGUCUACUUCAGUACUUUGUCGACCAUCAUUAUUUGUUCGACACCGCCUUGGCGAUGUGACGACAGAAUUGUUCCCGACAAUAGAACCUCGUGCAUGAUUCUGCAAAAUGAAUCAGAAGUAAACAUAUGUCCUUCCAAAACCUGUGUCCUUACGAAUGACACGAAAUUUUCUAGUUUCAUUUUCGAAGGAACACUUCAAACGAUUGUCAGCGAGGUAGGUUUCACUAUUUCUUAAACUGUAACCAUUUUUUAACAUUUGACAGUUUUAUUUCCAAAAUCAUAUCAUAGAAAACAUAAGCUAUUUCUUUGCAAAUGUACGAAUCCCAAUGCACAAAUUCAUUGCACAGUAACUGUAAAUUUGCACUAUUGUACAGAAACAAUAUUUUUCAGUUUGGUUAAAUGUGCGGACGUGACUACAUUCAAAGUUUAAUCAUGACUUUACAAGUUGCUGGGUUACUCGCAGGAAACAUACUUGCAGGCCAGUUAUCAGAUCUGAUUGGGCGUAAACCUCCAUUCUUUACCUCCAUAAUUCUCAUAACUGUUUUCAAUCUGGUUGGUUUCUUUUCCGUAAACUGGGUCAUGUUUGCUGUUGCGAGGAUUUUCGCGGCUUUGGAUCCGGAUUUUUCUUGUCGACACAAUAUUGCUUGUUAUCCGAAUUUUCCUUAGCAAAAUGGCGCGUGUGGAUCGUUGGUUUUCCCUCUUGGUCGGUAGAAUGAUGCGUGCUUGCUUUGUGUGCCUGGCUGAUACAGGACUGGCGAUAUAUGCAGCUCUUGACAGGCAUCAUGGGAAUCCCGUGUUUAUUUGCAUGGUUGUAAGUUGUUUUGCUGAUAAAUAAGACUUUAAAGGAAAAAAAGAAACGGUAUCCUUUGAAUUAAGUCAGUUAAAUUGUUUCACAAGCGUCCUGUAGAAAUAGGGAUUUAGCACUGUACACCUGACAAUCCUGACUAUUUUGUUGUUUUGAGUGUCAUUGGGUGGAAGAAAUUUAACCGAUUUUGGCUGAGAGCUUUCUGUUUAGGUAAGGGUUUAAAGUUGUGCAACCGGGAGUUCUGAGCGCUAUGAGGGCGGUCAGAGGGCUAGGACCCUUAAUUUGUAAAAGGCAAUUUCCUCCAACAUAGUUUUUGUUUGAAUCAUUUGGUGAUAUUUAGCCAAAUUUGGAAGCACUCAAACAAUGUUUUGACAAUUAUAUUUUAUUAUAAUAAACUCUGCGGCUUACCGUAAAAAAAUCACAAUCCUCCAGCUUGGUAUACAUUUCAUAUGAUUUCAAUAACUGGCUAAAAUCAGUACAUGAUAUAUUUUGAAAUGCUCUGUAUUAUAGAUGCUUAUGUAAAUAUAAUUAUUGUUAUUUGUUGUCAGCAUAAUUCCCGAAAGUUUGCGCUGGUACAUUGGGCACGAUAAGUCUGAUAAAGCCCUUAAAGUGAUCAAUAAGCUUGCAAAGUAUAACCACUGCCGUGAAGUGGAAUUGGGGCACCUGAUUGAUAAACCGGAAGUGAAAAAGGACCGGAAGUACACCGUUAUUGACUUGUUCAAGUCAAAGGCUCUUAUACGGAAUACAUUUCUUUCUAUUUUUAAUUGGUAAGGCCUUGGUCUAGUAUCAUUUUGUAUCAAAUAUGGUAUCCAGGCUCUCUCGGGGAACAUCUUUUUCAACCUCUUUCUCUUUAAUCUUUGCGCUAUACCAUCAAAGGGAAUAGCUCUUUGGCUUCAAAACAGGUUUGGUCGUAGAAUCACAGCUAUUAUAUGUUACAUUAUUGGUAUCAGUGGCUUUAUUGUCGGCGUCGUACAAACUGUUGAGGCUCCAAACCGCGAUGCUCUCACAAACGGGUUUGCCCUGUUAGCCCAUAUUGGUAUUGCUAUGGCAUGGGGACCGGUACAGACGAUGACCAUUGAACUAUAUCCAACUGUCGUCAGAAAUAUUGGAUUUGGAACAUUAAGUGUAAUGGGAAGAUUUGACGCCAUGAUUGGUCCUCAGUUAGUCUACUUGGAUUCGUAUGUUCCUGGUUUGUUGUACUAUGUGUGCGGGGCAGUGUCGGUGGUAUGUGUCACUGGAACAUCUGCACUUCCGGAGGCAAUGGACACCGACCUCAAUGUUACAAUUGGACAAAUGAAAGAGAAAAGUGUCAAGAAUAAUAAAAUUAGAAAUGGUGUCGUCUGAGGAAGUAUUGACUUCAAUCAUACAAUAAUAAGUUUGUAUGCCAGUGUGUAUUCAGAAAAAACUGCGCUAAAAUUGGACAAUGUGUCACAUGAUAAUCUAAACCCACUUGCAUAGGUGGAUAUAAUUUUUGUUGCAGAAUGGUUCACAUCUCAUUGUAUAUACCUAGGUGUUCCAGUUCACACGUUUCUGACAGCUUUUAUUUACUGGACACUUCAGUAUAAUAAUUAACACUGUGGAUUAUUUCUCUUUAACAAUAGCUAAAUGGUUCAUUUAGUACUGGACCUGUCGCAUCUAUGACCUACACCACUGUGAUUCAUUUUAAGCUGAAGGACCCACUGAUACCAGACCAGAAGCCACUGAUACCAGACCAGAAGAAAAAUACUAUUGUACAUGUCAUACUGUACACCUAGGUAUACUGUGAGAACCAAGAUACCCAACGGGAAAGUAUACUAACCCAUAUCAGUAAAAUUUAAUGGGUACCAUGAAUAUUGAAAAUUGGUAAUUUCCCUUUCAUUAUACACCAGUUGCAUUUUCUCUGAUUCUUAUCGCAGAGACAUUCUGUGUAUUUUAUGUUUUCGUCUACAUUAUACAAAAUGUUAACAUUAUCUUCCAAAGUUUCGCAAAUUUGUUCAAGUUAGAAACUUCCUCAUCAAUUUAAAGUUUUUCUUGCUU